GACGAACGCUGGCGGCGUGCCUAAUACAUGCAAGUAGGACGCAGUUGCGAACGGGUGAGUAACGCGUAGGUAACUACCUAUUAGAGGGGGAUAACUAUUGGAAACGAUAGCUAAUACCGCAUACUAGUAGAUGUACCUGCGUUGUAUUAGCUAGUAGGUAGGGUAAUGGCCUACCUAGGCAACGAUACAUAGCCGACAUGCGAGGGUGAUCGGCAACACGGGGACUGAGACUCGGCCCAGAAUCCUAGGGGAGGCGGAGGUAGAGAAACUUCGGCAAUGGGGGGAACCCUGACCGGGCAACGCAGCGAAAGUUAAGAAGGUGUUCGGAUCGUAAAGCGCUGUUGUUAAGGAAGCGGUACUUAACCAGAAAGGGAAGGCUAACUACGUGCCAGCAGCCGCGGUAAUAC
rnacentral:rRNA from 1 species